rfam:Coprobacillus sp. 29_1 genomic scaffold supercont1.3, whole genome shotgun sequence.
GGGGGCGUCUUGGAUUCGACAGGGGUCAGUUUGAAUGAAGUUGCAGCCGUGGGCACACGUUACAUGCACAAAAAAAUAUCUGGAAACAGACAAACUAAUUACGCUUUCGCUUAGUCGACAUAGACGAGAAAGCUGCCAUUAUUUAGCGUGCCUAUAGCUAUUUAACUGGUAACAUAACUCAUAGGAUAAGGAUAUAAGGAGUCUGGACUUAUGUCAUGAAAAUUUACAGAAUCGCUAAGUGAAGGACUGCUUGUGGAUCGUAGCUUAGUUAAAUUCAUUCCACAAGAUAAGCUGUAGACGCUUCAUAUGGGACGGCUUUUGGACGCGGGUUCGAUUCCCGCCGCCUCCACCU